rnacentral:lncRNA from 1 species
CUGCAGUUCCCCCAGCCUCCCCCCGUCGCGAUGAAGUGGCUUCUCCACCCCGCUCUGCCCACCUCCUAGUCCUCAGUUCCGUCUCCCACCCUCCUUCCCCUUCCUGCCCGCCCCACCUUCAGUGAAGCCCCUUGAGCGAGCGGGGUGUCUGCAAAAGCGGCCCGGUCACCUGUCGUGGCAGCUGCAUGGAAAUCCCGGCGCUUCUGCUGUCUGGAGCCUGUGCUGUUUCCUCUGGCAAAUCACGGAGAUUCCGCUCCCAGUACCACCCUUUCCUCUUUGCCCUGUGCCUCAAAACCUAGUGCUUGAUGCUGAUGUGAAGUUUGACCCGCUUGGGGCAGUUAGCAGGGAAGAGGCUACUGUCUAGACACCACUUCAAGGUUGAGAAGUUCGUAGAGGUUGGCUGGCUCUGAGGCUGGGAUGGCAAACACGCAUCGCGGAGGAAAAACAACAUUACAGUCACAAGGCACCAAAGGUAACGAGAGUUUAACAAUAUUUUUCUGUCCCUUUUAUCUUAUUCAGACUACAGGGUAAUUAGGGGGGUGCCAAACUAAUCACUCACAUAUAGUGGUUUAGUAAUCACAUAUCCUUAACCCCAGCAUCAACCAGAUUCAGUUACCUCUGAAAAAGAAAGCCCCACCUCAUCCACAUGAGGCUUUGGGUGGAUAUCUAAACACAAACCAUAACACUAGGUCUUUCUGGAGUGGUGAAACUAUCUAAGGGCCUACUCUAUGUCACCUUAUUAGCACAAAGUCGAAUGUGAUCAAAUAGGUGCUCAUCAGGAAUAAUAAAAGGCAUUACUGUCACCCAGGAAAUUCAAGGGUUUUGGGAAUUGUGUGCCAGGAACUAGGACAAAAAUUAGAUUUAUUUAUUAUCAUACCAUAAUCAUGAUUUAGAUAAACCUUGGGUUCUUGUCAGAAGUAUUAGAGAAUAUUAAGAUGUGGUGAAUAUUUAAGCUUUCUGGAUAAGGAUGGCAGUUGAUGCCAUAAGAGAUCCCUGUAGGUGACAGGAGAGGAGACAGGAGAGUCUUGGAGAGAGCUCUGGGAAAUGCUAGCAUUUGAACAGUAGAUAGGGGAUGAGAGAGUGAGGAAUUGCCUAGUGAAGUAGAAGGAAAACAAGAACAGCUGGUUGUUAUAGAAGUCAAGGGAAGUAUAUUUCUAGACCAGUGCUCUUCAGUAGAAUUUCCUGUGAUGAUAGAAAAGGUCUGUGUCUCUUAUCUCUGUUGUCCAAUAAGAUAUCUACUAGACAUGUACAACCAUUGAGCAGUUGAAAAGUAGCUAGUUGAACUG